CCCCUCUCAGGGUCACAUCCGGAGAGUUUCUAGUACUCUACCAGUCUUGGUUAUAGGAGGGAGAGUCAAGCAGAUGUCUACCCAUUCCAUUCCUAGCUUGGGCAGUGGCUAGCGAGAGGAAGGCAAUCUGCUACAAGU
rnacentral:snoRNA from 2 species